rnacentral:rRNA from 1 species
UAAGAAUUUAAAAGUCGAACAGACUUAUUAUUAAGAAUACUGCUUCUUAAAAUUUUCUUAAUUCAACAUCGAGGUCGCAAAAUAUAAUAUAGAUAUGAACUCCCCAUUUAAAUUACGCUGUUAUCCCUAAGGUAACUUAAUCUUACUAUCCUAAUACGUAAUAAUUAAGGAUCUUAAAUUACAUAAAUAAAUGAGUAUCAAAACUAAAGUUAAUUAUUUAGCAGCCACCCCAGCAAAAUAUAAAUCAGUAUCAAAAAGUAUUGUUAAUAAAACUUAAUGACAUAAAAUUAAAUAAAGUUCUAUAGGGUCUUAUCGUCCCAAUAAUUUAAUAAAGCAUUUUAACCCUAAAUUUAAAUUUUAACACUUAAAGAAAUAAAAUAUAAUUCUCAUACAUCCAUUCAUACAAGCUUUCAAUUAAAAAACUAAUUACUAUGCUACCUUUGCACAGUCAAAAUACUGCAGCCAUUUAGAAACUUAUUAACCAUAGGGCAGAAGAUACUUUACAUAAAACCG